rnacentral:rRNA from 1 species
UGACAAGAAAUAACAAUACAGGACCUCACGGUUUUGUAAUUGGAAUGAGUUAAGUAUAAACCCCUUAACGAGUAUCAAUUGGAGGGCAAGUCUGGUGCCAGCAGCCGCGGUAAUUCCAGCUCCAAUAGCGUAUAUUAAAGUUGUUGCAGUUAAAAAGCUCGUAGUUGAUUUUCUGUUAAUUUUUAUGUAUAAUAUUGCGAUAUUUACAUAAUAUUAACAUAAUUCACAUUACUUUACAGUAUGUGGAAUUUUACUUUGAGAAAAUUAGAGUGCUUAAAGCA